AUUCAGGUUGGAGAUCGAUCUUAAAAAUCAAGCUGGUUCGCCAAGUCGAGGUUAUCGAACCGUCGCAUAACUGGCGUUCUCUUAUCUAAGGACCGGUAUAUCUCGUUCGUAAUCUGCUCUUUUCGGACCCAGACUCACUUUUCACGACCCAAAUUUGACGAUGGACGGGAUCGAAGAUGGGCAUUUAAAGAUCGAUUUUAAGACAAGGUUUCGUAACGGCUUUUCAUGCUGGAUACCGGACAUCAGGUCAAGAAUUCAGUUUUAAGGUCACGGAUAUAGGGACACCAGAUUAUCGGUGCCAACUGAGAAUAAGAGAGUAACGGUGUCCCGCAUUCGACAUUUUCCAUGAAGAGACGUGGUCAAAUAGAAACUAAAAAAUAGGGGGAAAAAAAAAAGAAUCGAGAUUACACAAUGACCUUAAGGAAAGACAAUAGACUUGAUACUUGAAAUACAACUUCAACUAUACUUGCUUGGUAAUGUUCUACUUCAAAUUAUAUCUUUGAAUAAUUAUUCAGAUUCUCGUUUAUUAUAAUAGAUAAUAAUCGAAUUAUAAUAUUUGAAAAAUAUUAUAAUAUUUCAUCUUGGUAGUUCGUUGGCAUUGUUGCUGGCAGUUUUUCUAAUUUUUUGCCUAUUUCAAUUUUUCUACUUUCUCAUAAUACGGUUAAUUUAAAAAAAAAAAAUGAAAGAAAAUUGUAGAAUAUAAAUUUAAAUCACCUAGAGAGAGAAUUAAAAAUUCAAGGUUAAUAAUAAUCUGAUAUUCGAGAUUGACUAAUAUGAAUAAGAAAACCAGAAGUAUUUGUAACAACGCGGUUAUAAAUUAGAACGAUCACAACCGCAAGAAGAAGUCGGAAGAUCGUGAACAGCUCUCACUGGUCAAGCUGAGCAGCGAUAAAUUUCUAACCGGAAGGCUGCUUGAAGAGGAAGACGAGAACAGAAAGUCAACAAUGGCUGCACGUUCUUUCGCAAUUUAUACGCUCAGCUUACUUCGAAUGUUCAUCGCGUUUUCCAUUUCCUUUUUCGGUAAUUCGAAUUUAAUAUUGGUUAAAUUUUACGAUCACAAAUCUAGUUUAUAUUGCAAUAAACACAAAAUCUAAUCUAAUAAUAUAUACUUUAAUACAUCUCAGUUAUAUAAUAAUUUUCUUUUAAUUAUAAUAUUAAAAGUAUAAUUAUUUUCUAUCUAAAUAAAUAUUAAUUAAUUACAA